GAUGAACGCCAGCUACAGGCUUAACACAUGCAAGUCGAGGGGCAGCAUGGUCUUAGCUUGCUAAGGCCGAUGGCGACCGGCGCACGGGUGAGUAACACGUAUCCAACCUGCCGUCUACUCUUGGACAGCCUUCUGAAAGGAAGAUUAAUACAAGAUGGCAUCAUGAGUCCGCAUGUUCACAUGAUUAAAGGUAUUCCGGUAGACGAUGGGGAUGCGUUCCAUUAGAUAGUAGGCGGGGUAACGGCCCACCUAGUCUUCGAUGGAUAGGGGUUCUGAGAGGAAGGUCCCCCACAUUGGUACUGAGACACGGGACCAAACUCCUACGGGAGGCAGCAGUGAGGAAUAUUGGUCAAUGGGCGUAAAGCCUGAACCAGCCAAGUCGCGUGAAGGGAUGAAGGUUCUAAUGGAUCGUAAAACCUCUUUUUAAUAA
rnacentral:rRNA from 1 species